rnacentral:lncRNA from 1 species
AGAUUCCAAGGUAACAAAGAGAAAUAAAACUUGCCUGAUUAGAAAGUCUUUAAGUAAUUUUGUUGAUAUUGCCAAGUCUGCCACAUUCUGAGAGCAAGGGAUUGAUCCUUUCUACCAUGUUUUUAAAGAAAUCAUAGGGGGAAAAAUGCCCUCACCCAUCAAAGCAUUUUACAACUCUUUUUCCAAGGUCAGCCUUCUGUUACUACUAUGACCUCCUUAGACAUUAACAGGGGAGCCUUGAGACUGCCACUGUGAACUUUGCCCCUGUUGAGAAAUGCUUGUCUUAUGAUGUCCCUUCUGAUAUUCUCCGUGGGGACACUCAGCAUCUUGCAUCAUUCGGCCGGACAGUUUGGAGUAGAAUCCUCUCCUAGGUUUAAGAGCAAAAGACCAAACAGAUGCUCAGCAUUCCAUAAAACCUACAUGGCCACUAGGAGAAAGGCAAAGCUUUCUAGAACAAUGUAGGCAGUCAGCAGUAUGUUCCCAGCUGGCUCUCAAUAAAUAAUGGCCAGUGGGAUCAUAAGACAGCGUCAAUAGGGGAAAAAUAAAGGGCUCAGUGGAGAACAUCUGACUCCAAACUUCUGUGAUGGGAGUAUGAUGGCUGGACAUGGAAGGCAUGACCAAAUCAAUGAGGCUCUUGUAGGCUAGGCUGUGGGGUCUGAAAGUCUUCCCAUAGUUAGUGGGAAAAUGUUGAAAGAUUGAACCAUGUGUAUACUCUAUUGUUGCCAGAGAAAUCACUCUUGCAGCAGUAGGGUAGGUAAAUGGGAAGGGACCAUAGAAGAGGAGAGUUGGAUAAACUAAGGGGCCAUUGUUGUGUCACAGUGGGAAAGGAUGAGGUUCUGAACUCAGAAACAGUGGGCUGGUAGAGAAGGAGACACAUUUGUGCAAUAUUUAGGAAGCAAAAUUGUAGAGCAGGAAUGGAUCUGAAGUCAAUGAAAAACUCUUCAUAGCUCUAGUUGUUGGGCUUCCCCAGAAGAUGACAUUGAAAGGAAGGUUUGGAUGCAAGUUGUUCAUUUAGGAGGAGAUCUCAGGAAGCACAAAGUAUUUCCUUGAGUCAGGACCUCCAAGUCCUCCCCUAACUAGCCACUGUGCCUUCUCCAGGUAGAAACAGCUUUCUGUCUCAUGACUGACACCCUUCCUUGGUUCCUGUCAUCUGUAGCCAGGUAUGCUGGGUGCUGGAGAGAGCCCUGGACUUGGAGUCAAAAGACUGCAGUUGGAGCAGAGGAUCUUCCCUCAGAAGUUCUGCUGUGGGCUGAGUCGUUUCACCUCUCUGGGCCCCAGAUGGACCUUUGUAAAACUGAGUGGAGGCGAGGAGGUGCAGCAGGUCCAUAAAUUCAUCAGCUUCCCAGGCUGCUUCCACCUUUGCUACAUGUGGCCUCAUCCUUACAGCCCAAGAUGGCUCCUAGGGCUCUAGCCAUCACAUGCUGGUACCAGAGAGCAAGAUGACUGAAGGGGAGGAAAGAGAGCAUGUGCUUGUCUCGUGAAGAGAUUUCCUGGAAGUUACACAAAACAUUUCUGUUUUCAGCUUGUUGACUAGAACAUAGUCGUCUGUCAUACUUAGUGUGGAGGGUGACCAAAGAGGGAGUGUUUUGUCUGAAUAGCAUUGCAUCCAGCCAGAUAGCGAGGGCAAGUAGCUGGAGGGAAGAGGAAGACAGACAUUGUAGAGGAAGCUAGCAGUGACUCCCCCCCAGAUUAUAUCCUAUUAAUAAAAGUAAGAACCUAAUUUAUGCCAUGUGCCUGGGCCUCACAGGGCCAUCACACCUCCAUGAAACAAAGUGCUUGGCCUCACUCUGGUUUGCUUUUGUCAUCUCUGAAACAAGGAGGUUUUACUUCCCCAUGUUUCCCAAAUGUCCAUCAUUCAAAUAAUGCUUCUGCUGUGUAGCCAUGUCUACAGCUGUGGUCAAUGCUCCUCAUCAAGGCCGCUGUCUGUGUACCACUCGUGAUUUAAUCAGUCCGUUUUCUUCCAGGGGACUCUCCCUUUAAGCUUCUCUCUCUCUCUCU